GAUGAACGCUGGCGGCGUGCCUAAUACAUGCAAGUCGAGCGAACGGACGAGAAGCUUGCUUUUCUGAUGUUAGCGGCGGACGGGUGAGUAACACGUGGAUAACCUACCUAUAAGACUGGGAUAACUUCGGGAAACCGGAGCUAAUACCGGAUAAUAUUUUGAACCGCAUGGUUCAAAAGUGAAAGACGGUCUUGCUGUCACUUAUAGAUGGAUCCGCGCUGCAUUAGCUAGUUGGUAAGGUAACGGCUUACCAAGGCAACGAUGCAUAGCCGACCUGAGAGGGUGAUCGGCCACACUGGAACUGAGACACGGUCCAGACUCCUACGGGAGGCAGCAGUAGGGAAUCUUCCGCAAUGGGCGAAAGCCUGACGGAGCAACGCCGCGUGAGUGAUGAAGGUCUUCGGAUCGUAAAACUCUGUUAUUAGGGAAGAACAUAUGUGUAAGUAACUAUGCACAUCUUGACGGUACCUAAUCAGAAAGCCACGGCUAACUACGUGCCAGCAGCCGCGGUAAUACGUAGGUGGCAAGCGUUAUCCGGAAUUAUUGGGCGUAAAGCGCGCGUAGGCGGUUUUUUAAGUCUGAUGUGAAAGCCCACGGCUCAACCGUGGAGGGUCAUUGGAAACUGGAAAACUUGAGUGCAGAAGAGGAAAGUGGAAUUCCAUGUGUAGCGGUGAAAUGCGCAGAGAUAUGGAGGAACACCAGUGGCGAAGGCGACUUUCUGGUCUGUAACUGACGCUGAUGUGCGAAAGCGUGGGGAUCAAACAGGAUUAGAUACCCUGGUAGUCCACGCCGUAAACGAUGAGUGCUAAGUGUUAGGGGGUUUCCGCCCCUUAGUGCUGCAGCUAACGCAUUAAGCACUCCGCCUGGGGAGUACGACCGCAAGGUUGAAACUCAAAGGAAUUGACGGGGACCCGCACAAGCGGUGGAGCAUGUGGUUUAAUUCGAAGCAACGCGAAGAACCUUACCAAAUCUUGACAUCCUUUGACAACUCUAGAGAUAGAGCCUUCCCCUUCGGGGGACAAAGUGACAGGUGGUGCAUGGUUGUCGUCAGCUCGUGUCGUGAGAUGUUGGGUUAAGUCCCGCAACGAGCGCAACCCUUAAGCUUAGUUGCCAUCAUUAAGUUGGGCACUCUAAGUUGACUGCCGGUGACAAACCGGAGGAAGGUGGGGAUGACGUCAAAUCAUCAUGCCCCUUAUGAUUUGGGCUACACACGUGCUACAAUGGACAAUACAAAGGGCAGCGAAACCGCGAGGUCAAGCAAAUCCCAUAAAGUUGUUCUCAGUUCGGAUUGUAGUCUGCAACUCGACUACAUGAAGCUGGAAUCGCUAGUAAUCGUAGAUCAGCAUGCUACGGUGAAUACGUUCCCGGGUCU
rnacentral:rRNA from 1 species